AGCCAAUGAUGAGAAAUUAAUGUCAUGCACCACUCUGAGAUUAACCGUGCUGAUUAUGACCAUCACCAUUGAUUUCUGAGGCU